ACCUGGCUAGCUCAGUCAGUGGAGCGUGUGACUCUUGAUCUUAAAAUUGUGAGUUCAAGUCCCACGUGGGUA
rnacentral:tRNA from 1 species